rnacentral:rRNA from 1 species
ACGUGAUCUGAGUUCAGACCGGAGUAAUCCAGGUCAGUUUCUAUCUAUGAAGAGCUUCUUUUAGUACGAAAGGACCAAACAAGCAUGGCCAAUACUUAUGCAAGCCGUAAUUACCAGCUUAUGCUAACUCAAUAAGCACUUACCCUCACCCACCGCCCCAAGAAAAGGACA